rnacentral:rRNA from 1 species
AAUCUUUGAACGCAUCUUGCGCCCCUUGGCAUUCCGAGGGGCACACCCGUUUGAGCGUCCUGUAACUCUCAACCCUUCUCCCUUUCUUGGUGAACCGGGAGGAUGGCUUGGACUUUGGAGGCUUCUGCCGGUCUCAUCCCUCUUAGAACCGGCUCCUCUUAAAGAAAUUAGUGGGGUCUCAUUUGCCGAUCCUUGACGUGAUAAUAUUUGACGUCUUUUUUUGAGAGGCAAAGAGACCUUGCUUCCAAUGGUCUCAUUCAGGGACACCAGUGAGAUCAAAGAUCCCACUAGACCCCCAUUGACCUCAAAUCGGGUGAGACUACCCGCUGAACUUAAGCAU